ACCGUACGUAGCUCAGUGGUACAGCAUCUGCUUUGCAUGCAGAAGGUCCCAGGUUCAAUCCCCAAUGGGGCUGGCA